rnacentral:ncRNA from 1 species
ACAGAGGAAUUUCCCCAUGGUAGAAUACCCAAGCUUGGAGUGGGGAAAGUCCGGUGAGAUUCCGGUACUGUGCCGCAGCUGUAAUCCAAUUUUGUUAGUCAGAAUGCCGACUCCGCAAGUAUCUAGAGA